rnacentral:rRNA from 1 species
GACGAACGCUGGCGGCGUGCUUAACACAUGCAAGUCGAACGAAGUGGCGACCGGGUGAGUAACGCGUAAUCAACCUGCCCUUCAGAGGGGGACAACAGUGGGAAACGACUGCUAAUACCGCAUACUGAAGGCUGGGAUUGCGUCGGAUUAGCUAGUUGGAGGGGUAACGGCCAACCAAGGCGAUGAUCAGUGGCCGGGUGGAGAGGGUGAGCGGCCACAAUGGGACUGAGACACGGCCCAGACUCCUACGGGAGGCAGCAGUGGGGAAUCUUCCGCAAUGGACGAAAGUCUGACUGAGCAACGCCGCGUGAGUGAUGACGGCCUUCGGGUUGUAAAGCUCUGUUAAUCGGGACGCGGUACCGGAAUAGAAAGCACCGGCUAACUCCGUGCCAGCCGCCGCGGUAAUUC